rnacentral:lncRNA from 1 species
GAAUAGUUUGAUAUAGUAUAUCUUAUCCUUCUCCUAUUUAUUUAAAGAAUAUCGAUCUGAACUCUAUAUAAUGAGGGCAUUGGUCCUGUCAUUUUCUUAUGUGCAUUCUCUUGAUGAGAUACUAUCGAUUUUACAUUAUACGGGAGAGUGCAUGAGAAAUGAGGAGAAACCAAAUCAUUCAAGUUUGAUUGGUGACAUCCAGAUUAUAGUCAGACUUUUCGCUUCCGCAGCUUGAUCAAGAAUUUCUUCACUAUGGCAUUCUUUGAGUUUUUUUCUUUUAUUUAUGAUCCUAAAUUUUGGUAUAUAUUUAUUUUUAUUGGUGUUUUAUAUAGUGAUAAAGAUCUAUCAAUAUAAACUAGAUAAAAUUCUAUAAAACUUAUCUGAAUUAUAAAAUUUUUUAAUUUGAUUGUCUAGUUUUUCAAAAUUUUGAUUUUAGUAUUCAGGUCGUUAAUUUGUUUGAUAUAAGUGAUUUGAUGGCACAUAUGAAUACAAAAUUUAAGUAAAUUAUUCAUUUUAACAAAUUUAUUAGUUGCAUAAAUUAUUUUUAAAAUUUUAUAUAAAAAAGGGGUAAACUUCAAAUACCUUUUGUGGUUUCACAUUUUCUCACUUUAGUACCCUAUAGUUUAUAGUGUAUCAAGUUAGCUCCUGUGGUUUCGCACUUUCUCACUUUAGUACCCUAUGAUUUAAAGUGUAUCAAGUUAGUACCCUCUGGUUUCAAUUUUUUUUUAUUAUUCAUUUCACUAAUUUUUUUUAUUAAAUCAGUGACAAAGUUAAAAUAUUUUAAAUUAUAGAAUACUAAAAUGAAAAUGUGCAAAACCACUAGUAUUUAAAGUUUUGUGGGAAAAAAAAAAAAAAAAA